rnacentral:lncRNA from 1 species
GGGUCUUCAUUUGGUAAACCAUGAAAGAGAUUUCCUUGAAUGAGCUGAAUCAAGGAAUGCGGGUAUGAAAUGUUUGUUGCUUGAACUUCUGGCCGCACAAUGCUAGUGAAAAACUAUGGCAUGGUAGAACUAGAAUAGUCCUCAAGAGUCACCCUUGGUGGUUGAUCUUCUGCCAUUACGUUUGCUUCAGAGGCACCAACUUCAGAUUCUCUCAGUUCAAUGGGGAAUGAUGAAGAAGAUUCAGAUGAAGGAAUCCUCUCGUUACUGAGGUUAGUUGUCC